AAACUACGNCUAAUACCGCAUGAUCCUGAGGGGCAAAGNNNNAAGUCGCCUGAGGAGGAGCCUGCGUCUGAUUAGGUAGUUGGUGGGGUAAAGGCCUACCAAGCCUNCGAUCAGUAGCUGGUCUGAGAGGAUGAUCAGCCACACUGGGACUGAGACACGGCCCNGACUCCUACGGGAGGCAGCAGUGGGGAAUAUUGGACAAUGGGCGAAAGCCUGAUCCAGCAAUGCCGCGUGGAUGAAGAAGGUCUUCGGAUUGUAAAGUCCNUUUGGCGGGGACGAUGAUGACGGUACCCGCAGAAUAAGCUCCGGCUAACUAGCGUUGCUCGGAAUGACUGGGCGUAAAGGGCGCGUAGGCGGACGGCACAGUCAGGCGUGAAAUUCCUGGGCUCAACCUGGGNCUGCGUCUGAGACGUGUUGUCUUGAGUAUGGAAGAGGGUUGUGGAAUUUCCAGUGUAGAGGUGAAAUUCGUAGAUAUUGGAAAGAACACCGGUGGCGAAGGCGGCAACCUGGUCCAUUNCUGACGCUGAGGCGCGAAAGCGUGGGGAGCAAACAGGAUUAGAUACCCUGGUAGUCCACGCUGUAAACGAUGUGUGCUGGAUGUUGGGGUGCUUAGCACUUCAGUGUCGUACGUAACGCGGUAAGCACACCGCCNNGGGAGUACGGCCUGUCGUGAGAUGUUGGGUUAAGUCCCGCAACGAGCGCAACCCUCGCCNUCAGUUGCCAGCAUGUUUGGGUGGGCACUCUGAAGGAACUGCCGGUGACAAGCCGGAGGAAGGUGGGGAUGACGUCAAGUCCUCAUGGCCCNUAUGUCCUGGGCUACACACGUGCUACUAUGGCGGUGACWGUGGGAAGCCAGGUGGUGACACCGAGCUGAUCUCAAAAAGCCGNCUCWGUUCGGAUUGCACUCUGCUACUCGAGUGCAUGAAGGUGGAAUCGCUAGUUAUCGCGGAUCUGCAUGCNGCGGUGAAU
rnacentral:rRNA from 1 species